GUUAUUAGAAAGCCUGAAAAGAUUAGAAUUUGCAUUGAUCCGAAGUUUCUUAAUAUGGCCCUGAGAAGGUCACACUACAUAAUGCCAACACUUGAGGAUGUUUUGCACAAAUUGCCCAAAGCACGGGUUUUUACAAUUGUUGAUGCAAGAGAUGCCUUUCUACAGUGCAAACUGGAUGAAAAAAAUAGCUACAUGACCACUUUCUAGACUCCCUGGGGCCGAAAGAGAUGGCUCAAGCUGCCGUUUGGAGUCUCCAUAACCCCAGAAGUAUAUAAGCGAAAGCAACAUGAACUGUUAAGUGG